rnacentral:rRNA from 1 species
AUCGAUACGGGUUGUGGGAGCAAGAGCCCGGAGAUGGAUUCUGAGACACGAAUCCAGGCCCUACGGGGCGCAGCAGGCGCGAAAACUUUACAAUGCGAGAAAUCGUGAUAAGGGAACCCCGAGUGCCCGUAAAUUCGGGCUGUCCGCCAGUGCAAAAAACUGGUGAAGAAAGAGCCGGGCAAGACCGGUGCCAGCCGCCGCGGUAAUACCGGCGGCUCGAGUGGUGGCCACUAUUACUGGGCUUAAAGCGUCCGUAGCUUGGUUGUUAAGUCUCCUGGGAAAUCCAUCGGCUCAACCGAUGGGCGUUCAGGAGAUACUGGCAACCUAGGGACCGGGAGAGGUGAGAGGUACUCCAGGGGUAGGAGUGAAAUCCUGUAAUCCUUGGGGGACCACCUGUGGCGAAGGCGUCUCACUAGAACGGCUCCGACAGUGAGGGACGAAAGCUGGGGGAGCAAACCGGAUUAGAUACCCGGGUAGUCCCAGCUGUAAACGAUGUGCGUUAGGUG